AGUCGAGCGGACAGAAGGGAGCUUGCUCCCGGAUGUUAGCGGCGGACGGGUGAGUAACACGUGGGUAACCUGCCUGUAAGACUGGGAUAACUCCGGGAAACCGGAGCUAAUACCGGAUAGUUCCUUGAACCGCAUGGUUCAAGGAUGAAAGACGGUUUCGGCUGUCACUUACAGAUGGACCCGCGGCGCAUUAGCUAGUUGGUGGGGUAAUGGCUCACCAAGGCGACGAUGCGUAGCCGACCUGAGAGGGUGAUCGGCCACACUGGGACUGAGACACGGCCCAGACUCCUACGGGAGGCAGCAGUAGGGAAUCUUCCGCAAUGGACGAAAGUCUGACGGAGCAACGCCGCGUGAGUGAUGAAGGUUUUCGGAUCGUAAAGCUCUGUUGUUAGGGAAGAACAAGUGCGAGAGUAACUGCUCGCACCUUGACGGUACCUAACCAGAAAGCCACGGCUAACUACGUGCCAGCAGCCGCGGUAAUACGUAGGUGGCAAGCGUUGUCCGGAAUUAUUGGGCGUAAAGGGCUCGCAGGCGGUUUCUUAAGUCUGAUGUGAAAGCCCCCGGCUCAACCGGGGAGGGUCAUUGGAAACUGGGAAACUUGAGUGCAGAAGAGGAGAGUGGAAUUCCACGUGUAGCGGUGAAAUGCGUAGAGAUGUGGAGGAACACCAGUGGCGAAGGCGACUCUCUGGUCUGUAACUGACGCUGAGGAGCGAAAGCGUGGGGAGCGAACAGGAUUAGAUACCCUGGUAGUCCACGCCGUAAACGAUGAGUGCUAAGUGUUAGGGGGUUUCCGCCCCUUAGUGCUGCAGCUAACGCAUUAAGCACUCCGCCUGGGGAGUACGGUCGCAAGACUGAAACUCAAGGAAUUGACGGGGGCCCGCACAAGCGGU
rnacentral:rRNA from 1 species